AACACCCGAAGCCGGUGACUCAACCCGUAAGGGAAAGAGCCGUCGAAGGUGGGGUUGGUGAUUGGGGUGAAGUCGUAACAAGGUAGCCGUAUCGGAAGGUGCGGCUGGAUCACCUCCUUU
rnacentral:ncRNA from 1 species